rnacentral:rRNA from 1 species
AAGUUGGGCGUGAAAGCCCCGGGCUUAACUCGGGGAGGCCGUUCAAUACUGCAGGGCUAGAGGAUGUCAGAGGGAGAUAGAAUUCCUGGUGUAGCAGUGAAAUGCGUAGAUAUCAGGAGGACACCCGUGGCGAAGGCGGUCUCCUGGGGCAUUCCUGACGCUGAGAAGCGAAAGCUAGGGGAGCAAACGGGAUUAGAUACCCCGGUAGUCCUAGCCCUAAACGAUGAAUACUUGGUGUGCGAGUAUUAAGUACUCGCGUGUCGUAGCUAACGCGAUAAGUAUUCCGCCUGGGGAGUAUGGUCGCAAGAUUGAAACUCCAAGGAAUUGACGGGGAACCGCACAAGCGGUGGAGCCUGUGGUUUAAUUCGACGCAACGCGAAGAACCUUAACC